rnacentral:rRNA from 1 species
AAUAGAUACCCUGGUAGUCCACGCCCUAAACGAUGAUAACUCGAUGUUGGCGAUAGACAGCCAGCGUCCCAGCGAAAGCGUUAAGUUAUCCGCCUGGGGAGUACGCCCGCAAGGGUGAAACUCAAAGGAAUUGACGGGGGCCCGCACAAGCGGAGGAGCAUGUGGUUUAAUUCGAUGAUACGCGAGGAACCUUACCCGGGCUUGAAAGUUAGUGAAGGAUGCAGAGACGCAUCCGUCCUUCGGGACACGAAACUAGGUGCUGCAUGGCUGUCGUCAGCUCGUGCCGUGAGGUGUUGGGUUAAGUCCCGCAACGAGCGCAACCCUAUGUUUAGUUGCCAGCAUGUAGUGGUGGGGACUCUAAACAGACUGCCUGUGCAAACAGAGAGGAAGGUGGGGACGACGUCAAGUCAUCAUGGCCCUUACGUCCGGGGCUACACACGUGCUACAAUGGAUGGUACAGCGGGCAGCUACAUAGCAAUAUGAUGCUAAUCUCUAAAAGCCAUUCACAGUUCGGAUUGGGGU